rnacentral:rRNA from 1 species
CCUACGGGUGGCAGCAGUGGGGAAUAUUGGACAAUGGGCGAAAGCCUGAUCCAGCCAUGCCGCGUGUGUGAAGAAGGCCUUCGGGUUGUAAAGCACUUUCAGUGGGGAAGAAAGCCUUGGGGCUAAUACCCUCGAGGAAGGACAUCACCCACAGAAGAAGCACCGGCUAACUCCGUGCCAGCAGCCGCGGUAAUACGGAGGGUGCGAGCGUUAAUCGGAAUUACUGGGCGUAAAGCGCGCGUAGGCGGUCUGAUAAGCCGGUUGUGAAAGCCCCGGGCUCAACCUGGGAACGGCAUCCGGAACUGUCAGGCUAGAGUGCAGGAGAGGAAGGUAGAAUUCCCGGUGGAGCGGGGAAAUGCGUAGAGGUCGGGAGGAAUACCAGUGGCGAAGGCGGCCUUCUGGACUGACACUGACGCUGAGGUGCGAAAGCGUGGGUAGCAAACAGGAUUAGAUACCCGAGUAGUC